AACCAGUUCUCACCGCACCGCCGCAAGACUAUAGCAGAUGUAGAUAAAGACGUUCGUAGGCUAGACAAGGUCAUCAUAGAGCUCCAGUCCUCGGUUAACUCCAUCAAUAGGCAGCUCUCUAACCAGAACACCAUUAUACUAGGUCUUAAACAUAAUCUUGCUAGUGCCAAUAAGAAGAUUAGGGAGUUAGAGCGCCACUAAGUUAUCUAGAUUAGAUCUUGAGGCAGUGCAUCUUAGUUAUUCAUCUUUAAAUUCGGUU
rnacentral:lncRNA from 1 species